CACGCAUCAGAAAAGAAUAAGAAGGAAGUUUACUUUAAACGCGUAAAAGGAAAUAUAUUUUUAGUAUGUCAUAAAAAAAGUCAUUAGUGUGUCAUAAAAAUGUCACAGUAUAGUAUGCCAUAAAAAUCUCUCACAUGGAGACGU